rnacentral:rRNA from 1 species
GACGAACGCUGGCGGCGUGCUUAACACAUGCAAGUCGAACGGAAAGGCCCUGCUUUUGUGGGGUGCUCGAGUGGCGAACGGGUGAGUAACACGUGAGUAACCUGCCCUUGACUGUGGGAUAACUUCAGGAAACUGGGGCUAAUACCGGAUAGGAGCUCCUGCUGCAUGGUGGGCGUUGGAAAGUUUCGGCGGUUGGGGAUGGACUCGCGGCUUAUCAGCUUGUUGGUGGGGUAGUGGCUUACCAAGGCUUUGACGGGUAGCCGGCCUGAGAGGGUGACCGGCCACAUUGGUACUGAGAUACGGCCCAGACUCCUACGGGAGGCAGCAGUGGGGAAUAUUGCACAAUGGGCGGAAGCCUGAUGCAGCAACGCCGCGUGCGGGAUGACGGCCUUCGGGUUGUAAACCGCUUUCGCCUGUGACGAAGCGUGAGUGACGGUAAUGGGUAAAGAAGCACCGGCUAACUACGUG